AUCCGCAAAGAAGGUCCCGGUCAGCUGUGCCGUUAAAUGUCCGUCGCUUCGGCAGCCGAGCGAAAAAUAAGAUUUAAAGAAGCUGUUUGUGGGUUUACAUUAUGGAAAAGAAUGCGACGCGAUACAACGUACAGUUAUAUAUUUAUGAUCUAUCGAGAGGAAUGGCGCGCAGCCUCAGUCCCAUCAUGUUAGGCAAACAGCUGGAUGGUAUAUGGCACACAGCUAUAGUGGCGUACGGUGAUGAGUUCUUCUUCGGAGGGGAGGGGAUCUCCAGCUGUUCGCCGGGUGGGACAAUGCUGGGUCCUCCAGACACAGUGGUAGAGCUGGGAGAGACUGAAGUGUCUGAGGAGAUCUUCAUGGAGUACCUCUCUUCCCUGGGAGAAAGCACAUACAGAGGUGACAGGUAUCGUCUGUUUGAGCACAACUGCAACACCUUCACCAAUGAGGUGGCUCAGUUCCUGACGGGCAGGUCCAUCCCGUCCUACAUCACUGACCUUCCGUCAGAAGUCCUCUCCACACCGUUCGGCCAGAUACUGCGGCCCAUUCUGGACUCAAUCCACAUCGCCCCUCCAGGAGGUAACGUCAUCAACGGGGGGAGGAACAUGUAACCUGAGAGAGCAGCAGAGUCACCGAGUGUUCACAAGGUCACUUUUAUUGUAGUCAGUCAGUCAAACUAAUUGUCUUUCUUUCAGUGUUCUUUCUGUAAAUAAGUUACACACUAGUAUUGAAGCUAACGGCCAUUUUGGAAGCUAGAAGUGAUCAAUGACCAGUGAAUCCUUAAAAUUCAAACUUAACAUAUAAUUUCCACCUUAAAGUUGGUUUGUGACGUUUGAGGGUGCAUCUGGCAUCACAUUCAAUGUACUGACAAAACACAGAUGGGUUUUGGGUGCACCAGCACAGUCGGAUAUCAACACUAAAAACCAUUUUGACAGAAUUUCUACUUAAACUCCACUACAUAGAAAUAUUGCACUUUUUACUUCACUGCAUUUAUCUGAUGUUUGUAAUUUAACCACCUACAACAUUUAAAUACCUCCUGCACAUUGGUGCAUCCAGCUUAUUUAGUAUUUUAACUUUUGUCCCGAGGUACAAAUGUCCCUUUAAUUUUACUUAAUUUGGAACUUGUAGUUUUUUCCAUUUUGGUGUUAUAAUGUGUAUUACCUCCACCAAGGAGGUUGUGUUUUCAGUUUGUCUGUUUAUCAGCAGGACUAUAAGAAAACUACGAGGCUGAUUUUUAGGAAACUUGGUGGAAGGGCUCAGAACGAACCCAUUAAAUUUCCGAAUCACGGAGGGAUAGACAAAUCAUUUUUCACAUUAAUUAACAUUGUAAGAUAGGACAUUUAGCCUUGGUGGAGGGCUGUGCUCUCUGAGUGCCCUUCCAGUUUAUUAAAAAUUUAAUUUAUUCAGUUUAGUAAGCUAAUUUAUAUAUAUUUUUUUUCCCACGAUGACUUUAUUUCUGACAUAUCAGGUUUCCCACAUGGUUUCUGCAGUGAGAAACACUUGCUGCUGACUACAAUGGAACUAAUCUGAGUGUACACUUUUACAUAGACAUGUUUAAUAUAUUCAAAUCAAUGGACGCAGGUUGGUGGAAAAUAAGAACGAGAUAGUUGGAGAGUCUUUUAAUCAUAUUUUAAUUUUUGCACUGUCAUGAUUUGUUAUAUGUUUUUUCUUAUGUUUUUUGGCAGCCUGUAGAUACAUUUUCAUCAGUGAUCCUUUUAUACCUGUAAUAUUUGUCUAUACUAUUUUUUGUUGUAUUCAGCUGUACCUGCCAUCAUCAUUCCACCUGUCACAGUAGGUGAUCGAUGCCCCGCGCACACUGAGGUUAUAAGAUCAGAGGUGAUGUAAAAAGUGUAGAGUGUACAGGCCCUAUUUAGACGAUUUAUAGCAGAUGGUCUAAAGAGCAUAGCUCAAGUGCAUUAAGGGCAUAUCCAACCACUUUUGCUACUUAAACAUAGCGUAAUCUGGGAGCAAAGUGAGGCACAAGUGGCAAAGGGAUUGAAUUUAGCCCCUUAAUUACUCAUAGGUGUGUUUUGGGGGUAACAUGAAUCAAUCAAUCAGAGUGUCAUCUCCUAUUCCCUUUAAAAGCCAGAUGUGCCCACACCUGGUGCACUGUUAUUUACAUGGUGGAUUUGGCAAAUUGACCUUUCGCUAAGCCCCGCCCCUUUGUGGUGGUCCGACAAGCUGUUAGAGUAAGCAUGGAAGAGAGAAGCAGACAGAGGGGUCUACAGUCUGUGUUUGAAGGAUAUAUCCAGGAUGUCAAACUGACUCAGCAGCAACAACAGGUUAAAAAGACAAAGAUAGUUAGAAGCUAAAGCCGAACUAUAGGCUACAGAUCACAGUGUAAAAGUGAACCACCACAUCACUGCUGAUCGCCACACAAGACAAUGAAUAUAAAGGGAAACUUUGCUGAUAUUGAUCCAGCUGUGUG